UCGUACAACCGAGGUGCCAGGGCUGUCGCUGACCCUUCAAAGGUCGUGCACGCCCGAGCACUCUCGCACAAUCCAUCUCACCCCCUUUGUGCAUCACCGCGUGGGUCCUCCCUUUUGCGGGAGGGUUCGCGUUUUCACAUAAAACUCGAUACAGUCUAGAAUGUUUUGUUUUUGCGGUCACACGCAAUCAAUA
rnacentral:misc_RNA from 1 species